rnacentral:RNase_P_RNA from 1 species
ACGGCAGACGAGCCGGGCGGGCGGCCGCGUGGGGGUCUUCGGACCUCCCCGAGGAACGUCCGGGCUCCACAGAGCAGGGUGGUGGCUAACGGCCACCCGGGGUGACCCGCGGGACAGUGCCACAGAAAACAGACCGCCGGGGACCUCGGUCCUCGGUAAGGGUGAAACGGUGGUGUAAGAGACCACCAGCGCCUGAGGCGACUCAGGCGGCUAGGUAAACCCCACUCGGAGCAAGGUCAAGAGGGGACACCCCGGUGUCCCUGCGCGGAUGUUCGAGGGCUGCUCGCCCGAGUCCGCGGGUAGACCGCACGAGGCCGGCGGCAACGCCGGCCCUAGAUGGAUGGCCGUCGCCCCGACGACCGCGAGGUCCCGGGGGACAGAACCCGGCGUACAGCCCGACUCGUCUGCC